rnacentral:rRNA from 1 species
AGAACAACUCUCAGCAACGGAUAUCUUGGCUCUUGCAACGAUGAAGAACGCAGCGAAAUGCGAUACGUAGUGUGAAUUGCAGAAUUCCGCGAAUCAUCGAGUUUUUGAACGCAAGUUGCGCCCGAGGCUUGUCCGAGGGCAUUUCCGCUAGAGCGACACC